rnacentral:rRNA from 1 species
GUGACUGCGUACCUUUUGUAUAAUGGGUCAGCGACUUAUAUUCUGUAGCAAGGUUAACCGAAUAGGGGAGCCGAAGGGAAACCGAGUCUUAACUGGGCGUUAAGUUGCAGGGUAUAGACCCGAAACCCGGUGAUCUAGCCAUGGGCAGGUUGAAGGUUGGGUAACACUAACUGGAGGACCGAACCGACUAAUGUUGAAAAAUUAGCGGAUGACUUGUGGCUGGGGGUGAAAGGCCAAUCAAACCGGGAGAUAGCUGGUUCUCCCCGAAAGCUAUUUAGGUAGCGCCUCGUGAAUUCAUCUCCGGGGGUAGAGCACUGUUUCGGCAAGGGGGUCAUCCCGACUUACCAACCCGAUGCAAACUGCGAAUACCGGAGAAUGUUAUUACGGGAGACACACGGCGGGUGCUAACGUCCGUCGUGAAGAGGGAAACAACCCAGACCGCCAGCUAAGGUCCCAAAGUCAUGGUUAAGUGGGAAACGAUGUGGGAAGGCCCAGACAGCCAGGAUGUUGGCUUAGAAGCAGCCAUCAUUUAAAGAAAGCGUAAUAGCUCACUGGUCGAGUCGGCCUGCGCGGAAGAUGUAACGGGGCUAAACCAUGCACCGAAGCUGCGGCAGCGACACUAUGUGUUGUUGGGUAGGGGAGCGUUCUGUAAGCCUGUGAAGGUGUACUGUGAGGUAUGCUGGAGGUAUCAGAAGUGCGAAUGCUGACAUAAGUAACGAUAAAGCGGGUGAAAAGCCCGCUCGCCGGAAGACCAAGGGUUCCUGUCCAACGUUAAUCGGGGCAGGGUGAGUCGACCCCUAAGGCGAGGCCGAAAGGCGUAGUCGAUGGGAAACAGGUUAAUAUUCCUGUACUUGGUGUUACUGCGAAGGGGGGACGGAGAAGGCUAUGUUGGCCGGGCGACGGUUGUCCCGGUUUAAGCGUGUAGGCUGAUUUUCCAGGCAAAUCCGGAAAAUCAAGGCUGAGGCGUGAUGACGAGGCACUACGGUGCUGAAGCAACAAAUGCCCUGCUUCCAGGAAAAGCCUCUAAGCAUCAGGUAACAUCAAAUCGUACCCCAAACCGACACAGGUGGUCAGGUAGAGAAUACCAAGGCGCUUGAGAGAACUCGGGUGAAGGAACUAGGCAAAAUGGUGCCGUAACUUCGGGAGAAGGCACGCUGAUAUGUAGGUGAAGCGACUUGCUCGUGGAGCUGAAAUCAGUCGAAGAUACCAGCUGGCUGCAACUGUUUAUUAAAAACACAGCACUGUGCAAACACGAAAGUGGACGUAUACGGUGUGACGCCUGCCCGGUGCCGGAAGGUUAAUUGAUGGGGUUAGCGGUAACGCGAAGCUCUUGAUCGAAGCCCCGGUAAACGGCGGCCGUAACUAUAACGGUCCUAAGGUAGCGAAAUUCCUUGUCGGGUAAGUUCCGACCUGCACGAAUGGCGUAAUGAUGGCCAGGCUGUCUCCACCCGAGACUCAGUGAAAUUGAACUCGCUGUGAAGAUGCAGUGUACCCGCGGCAAGACGGAAAGACCCCGUGAACCUUUACUAUAGCUUGACACUGAACAUUGAGCCUUGAUGUGUAGGAUAGGUGGGAGGCUUUGAAGUGUGGACGCCAGUCUGCAUGGAGCCGACCUUGAAAUACCACCCUUUAAUGUUUGAUGUUCUAACGUUGGCCCGUUAUCCGGGUUGCGGACAGUGUCUGGUGGGUAGUUUGACUGGGGCGGUCUCCUCCUAAAGAGUAACGGAGGAGCACGAAGGUUGGCUAAUCCUGGUCGGACAUCAGGAGGUUAGUGCAAUGGCAUAAGCCAGCUUGACUGCGAGCGUGACGGCGCGAGCAGGUGCGAAAGCAGGUCAUAGUGAUCCGGUGGUUCUGAAUGGAAGGGCCAUCGCUCAACGGAUAAAAGGUACUCCGGGGAUAACAGGCUGAUACCGCCCAAGAGUUCAUAUCGACGGCGGUGUUUGGCACCUCGAUGUCGGCUCAUCACAUCCUGGGGCUGAAGUAGGUCCCAAGGGUAUGGCUGUUCGCCAUUUAAAGUGGUACGCGAGCUGGGUUUAGAACGUCGUGAGACAGUUCGGUCCCUAUCUGCCGUGGGCGCUGGAGAACUGAGGGGGGCUGCUCCUAGUACGAGAGGACCGGAGUGGACGCAUCACUGGUGUUCGGGUUGUCAUGCCAAUGGCACUGCCCGGUAGCUAAAUGCGGAAGAGAUAAGUGCUGAAAGCAUCUAAGCACGAAACUUGCCCCGAGAUGAGUUCUCCCUGACUCCUUGAGAGUCCUGAAGGAACGUUGAAGACGACGACGUUGAUAGGCCGGGUGUGUAAGCGCAGCGAUGCGUUGAGCUAACCGGUACUAAUGAACCGUGAGGCUUAACCUUACAACGCCGAAG